CAGCAGCCGCGGUAAUACGAAGGGUGCAAGCGUUACGCGGAAUUACUGGGCGUAAAGCGUGCGUAGGUGGUGGUUUAAGUCCGUUGUGAAAGCCCUGGGCUCAACCUGGGAAUUGCAGUGGAUACUGGGUCACUAGAGUGUGGUAGAGGAUAGUGGAAUUUCCGGUGUAGCAGUGAAAUGCGUAGAGAUCGGAAGGAACAUCUGUGGCGAAGGCGACUAUCUGGGCCAACACUGACACUGAGGCACGAAAGCGUGGGGAGCAAACAGGAUUAGAUACCCCUGUAGUCCCUGUCUCUUAUAC
rnacentral:rRNA from 1 species